rnacentral:rRNA from 1 species
CAGUAGCCGCGGUAAUACUGAGGGUGCGAGCGUUAAUCGGAUUUACUGGGCGUAAAGCGUGCGUAGGCGGCUUUUUAAGUCGGAUGUGAAAUCCCUGAGCUUAACUUAGGAAUUGCAUUCGAUACUGGGAAGCUAGAGUAUGGGAGAGGAUGGUAGAAUUCCAGGUGUAGCGGUGAAAUGCGUAGAGAUCUGGAGGAAUACCGAUGGCGAAGGCAGCCAUCUGGCCUAAUACUGACGCUGAGGUACGAAAGCAUGGGGAGCAAACAGGAUUAGAUACCCCCGUAGUCCCUGUCUCUUAUAC